UGCAGCCUAUUCUGCGAUUUAGCCGACAGUUCUACUAGCAUAAUGCCUAUGGUAUAAAAAAGAAAGGAUACAAACGUGCUUAUAAUUAAGGCAUUUUUGUUACAAAAGUGCUCUGCAUUUCAUGAAACAUGAACAGAUUCAUUUGGAGCAUAUCGAUUUUAAUUCUGAUAGUUGAUGCGUUCUGGAGUUUUCCAGCUGAUACGCUCAAACUCCAGAAGGGCGAAUGCCCUAAGCAUAGUAGCUAUGAAGAAUGUUAUCAAGAUUGCAUGCCAACUUGCUUUGAAAAAAAUCCACCAUUUUGCAGCCUGGACUGCAGACGAGGCGGAUGUAUCUGUACUUAUCCGUAUAUUUAUGAUGAAGAUUCAACCAGAUGUGUUCUACCACAAGACUGUGCUUUUGGACCUUAAAGGAUUUUUUUUCCCCUGCAUUUUGCAAAUUUUAGAAUUAAGUUGCAAUGAAAUAUGUUAGCUGUAAUAUGUAUUCCUGAGAUUUACACUAUCAAUCAAUCAAUUAAGACGAAUCCUCUCAAAAUUAUUAUUAUCCAUGAAUUAAAUAAGAAGUAUCUUCUUGUAUGAAGAAGGAAGUUUCACAUUGCAUACUACGUGAAUUCAGGAUUUCGUCCCUAUUUCUGCUUGCAUUCAGUUUCCUUUAAGAAGCACAUUGAAAAAAGUAUUUAAGUUUAUUGAUGUUCUUACCAAAGAAUGACACUACAUCCAUUAUAGAGCCUCUUUUUCAUGGAUAUUAAAAAGCAGGCAGUAUGUACCAAGCUAUCCUGACUAUACACAACUGGAACAUGUGUGCAUUUAUAUUGUCCAUAAGAAAGCCAAAAUGCGCUCCUUUCAUUAGAGAAUGAACAUGUUAGGUGUAUCUAGUAAAAUAGAUAUGACUGAGCUAAUAAAAGAAAUUGUAGUAUUCUUCAGAGAAAAAUUUAUGGAAAUAAUCUAAUUUAACUGACGUGAGAUAAAACUGUAAAGUACCCUCUCAUUUAAUUACUAUGAAUUAAUAACCAGUAAUGUACUGUUCAUGACAUUCAGGAGAAAUUUUUUAUCGUAAAAAUGAAAAUAAAACAUUUAUUUCCUAUAAUAACCUUUAACAAAACUGCAUUUUUUAAAAAAUUUAUGGCUAGUUUUAUUUUAUUUAUUUUUUUGUAUCCACAAACUGACCAUGUGCUACAGAUAAAACAGAACAAAUAAAUUAAAUAUUGUCAGUUUUUGAUAAAUUAGUAAGCUUACCAAUUUUUAUACUUAUUACACUUUUUUAUCAACUGCAGCUUCAUAAAAUUGUAUUUAAAUAUUUUGUUAAAUAUCUAUUCGUAUGUAUAUAUAUAAAGUAAAAAAUACCAAGCAAAAACUAUUUUAGUCAUUCCAGUAAAAUAUGAUGAAGUGCAAAUGCAGCUGUGCUUUUUAUUGAAAGGUUUUAAAGCAUGUUUGGGUAUUUUUCCGUUUUGCCGGCGCAGGCGAUAAAGUCGCCAAUAAUGGUACAAUUGAUGCCAAACGGAAUAUCCUUGCUGGUAACCUUUUAUGCCUCAUUUUUAAAACAAGUAGCAGCCAUUUCCUAUCAUAUUGAUUGGUUCUUUCAAUACUACCAUACAAUUACAUAGAAUGUUUACUAGAUAAUAAAAUUUUAUGCCAUAAGUCUAUUCACAGUAAUUAAGUCAAUUAAAAUGCAAUCACACCGCUCACCCGAAAGUGAAAAUACAAAAAAGGCAAAGUCACAGGUUAAAUUCAUCAAUUCUAAUGAGAAUACUCUAACGAAAUAAAGCACUGUGGUUUUACAUAAUUUCUGAGUAAGCUUUUCAUACAAAUUGAAAUAAUUCUUGCAUUUAAACUUUUAUUCCAAAUUAAAAUUUAACUUGACAUUAAUGUAGAUAAUUACUGAAUUAUAUUUUUGUAGCGUACUUUAUGUGCGAUGAGAUUACUUGGGAUCAUGUAAUAUGAACUGGUGAAUCAGCUUGUUGAAACAUGAAAGUAUAAUUAUUCAUUAAUUCUUAAAUUAAUGUCGAAAAUUCUUAAUGUCCUUUUGCAAAUUUAUUGCCUUUAUUUAUUGGCUUUUUACUAAAUUUUAAAUGAUAUUAUUAUGUUUAUGCCUUCAAAAUAAAAAAUUUUUAGAACUAACAUUUUUUAUGUGUAUACUGUAUGCUGUCGCCAAUAAAGUAGCAGAGAUGCCUAGCAGAGAUUUGCGCCGGCGAAACGGAAAAGUACUUAUGUUUGUAAAAAUUGUUAUAUAUAUAUAUUAAAUUUUUAUUUUAACACAAAA